rnacentral:pre_miRNA from 1 species
AAGAGCAACAGUCCUAGUGGCGGGUCCAGCUCUGCAGCCCUGGAGUCAGCUCCCGCAGUAGCUCCGGAGCUCUCCGCCUGCAGGGCCUGGAGGCUCCGGGCGGGG